AUUGAACGCUGGCGGCAGGCCUAACACAUGCAAGUCGAACGAGUGGCGGACGGGUGAGUCAUGUCUGGGAAACUGCCUGAUGGAGGGGGAUAACUACUGGAAACGGUAGCUAAUACCGCAUACCAUCAGAUGUGCCCUGAUUGGUGUCGCUAGUUGGUGGGGUAACGGAUGACCAAGGCGACGAUCCCUAGCUGGUCUGAGAGGAGGACCAGCCACAAGGGAACUGAGACACGGUCCAGACGCCUACGGGAGGCAGCAGUGGGGAAUAUUGCACAAUGGGCGAAAGCCUGAUGCAGCAAUGCCGCGUGUAUGAAGAAGGCCUUCGGGUUGUAAAGUACUGUCAGCGGGGAAGCGUUACCCAAAGAAGAAGCACCGGCUAACUCCGUGCCAGCAGCCGCGGUAAUAC
rnacentral:rRNA from 1 species